GUUGAAGGAUUUGGAAAAUUCCGCUAAAGAGGGUGAAAGCCCCGUAGACGAAAUGCUGACAACACCUAGGAGGAUCCUGAGUACGGCGGAACACGAGAAAUUCCGUCGGAAUCCGCGGGGACCAUCCCGCAAGGCUAAAUACUCCCUAGUGACCGAUAGUGAACCAGUACCGUGAGGGAAAGGUGAAAAGCACCCCGGAAGGGGAGUGAAAUAGAUCCUGAAACCGUGUGCCUACAACAAGUCAAAGCUCGUUAAUGAGUGAUGGCGUGCCUUUUGUAGAAUGAACCGGCGAGUUACGAUUGCAUGCGAGGUUAAGUCGAAGAGACGGAGCCGCAGCGAAAGCGAGUCUGAAUAGGGCGAAUGAGUAUGUAGUCGUAGACCCGAAACCAUGUGAUCUACCCAUGUCCAGGUUGAAGGUGCGGUAAAACGCACUGGAGGACCGAACCCACGUACGUUGAAAAGUGCGGGGAUGAGGUGUGGGUAGCGGAGAAAUUCCAAACGAACUUGGAGAUAGCUGGUUCUCUCCGAAAUAGCUUUAGGGCUAGCCUCGGAAUUGAGAAUGAUGGAGGUAGAGCACUGUUUGGACUAGGGGCCCAUCUCGGGUUACCGAAUUCAGAUAAACUCCGAAUGCCAUUCAUUUAUAUCCGGGAGUCAGACUGCGAGUGAUAAGAUCCGUAGUCGAAAGGGAAACAGCCCAGACCACCAGCUAAGGUCCCAAAAUAUAUGUUAAGUGGAAAAGGAUGUGGGGUUGCACAGACAACUAGGAUGUUGGCUUAGAAGCAGCCACCAUUUAAAGAGUGCGUAAUAGCUCACUAGUCGAGUGACCCUGCGCCGAAAAUGUACCGGGGCUAAACAUAUUACCGAAGCUGUGGACUACACCAUUAGGUGUAGUGGUAGGAGAGCGUUCUAAGGGCGUUGAAGGUCGAUCGUGAGGACGGCUGGAGCGCUUAGAAGUGAGAAUGCCGGUAUGAGUAGCGAAAGACAGGUGAGAAUCCUGUCCACCGUAUGACUAAGGUUUCCUGGGGAAGGCUCGUCCGCCCAGGGUUAGUCGGGACCUAAGCCGAGGCCGAUAGGCGUAGGCGAUGGACAACAGGUUGAUAUUCCUGUACCAGUUGUUUUUGUUUGAGCAAUGGAGGGACGCAGUAGGCUAAGGAAUGCAUGCGAUUGGAAGUGCAUGUCCAAGCAAUGAGUCUUGAGUAGAGUUAAAUGCUUUACUCUUUAAGGACAAGUUGUGACGGGGAGCGAAAUAAUAGUAGCGAAGUUCCUGAUGUCACACUGCCAAGAAAAGCUUCUAGUGAGAAAACAACUGCCCGUACCGUAAACCGACACAGGUAGUCGAGGAGAGUAUCCUAAGGUGAGCGAGCGAACUCUCGUUAAGGAACUCGGCAAAAUGACCCCGUAACUUCGGGAGAAGGGGUGCUGACUUCGGUCAGCCGCAGUGAAUAGGCCCAAGCGACUGUUUAUCAAAAACACAGGUCUCUGCAAAAUCGUAAGAUGAAGUAUAGGGGCUGACGCCUGCCCGGUGCUGGAAG
rnacentral:rRNA from 1 species